rnacentral:rRNA from 1 species
AUUGAACGCUGGCGGCAGGCCUAACACAUGCAAGUCGAACGGUAACAUUUCUAGCUUGCUAGAAGAUGACGAGUGGCGGACGGGUGAGUAAUGCUUGGGAACUUGCCUUUGCGAGGGGGAUAACAGUUGGAAACGACUGCUAAUACCGCAUAAUGUCUUCGGACCAAACGGGGCUUCGGCUCCGGCGCAAAGAGAGGCCCAAGUGAGAUUAGCUAGUUGGUAAGGUAACGGCUUACCAAGGCGACGAUCUCUAGCUGUUCUGAGAGGAAGAUCAGCCACACUGGGACUGAGACACGGCCCAGACUCCUACGGGAGGCAGCAGUGGGGAAUAUUGCACAAUGGGGGAAACCCUGAUGCAGCCAUGCCGCGUGUGUGAAGAAGGCCUUCGGGUUGUAAAGCACUUUCAGUUGUGAGGAAAAGUUAGUAGUUAAUACCUGCUAGCCGUGACGUUAACAACAGAAGAAGCACCGGCUAACUCCGUGCCAGCAGCCGCGGUAAUACGGAGGGUGCGAGCGUUAAUCGGAAUUACUGGGCGUAAAGCGCACGCAGGCGGUUUGUUAAGCUAGAUGUGAAAGCCCCGGGCUCAACCUGGGAUGGUCAUUUAGAACUGGCAGACUAGAGUCUUGGAGAGGGGAGUGGAAUUCCAGGUGUAGCGGUGAAAUGCGUAGAUAUCUGGAGGAACAUCAGUGGCGAAGGCGACUCCCUGGCCAAAGACUGACGCUCAUGUGCGAAAGUGUGGGUAGCGAACAGGAUUAAA